CCUACGGGAGGCAGCAGUGAGGAAUAUUGGUCAAUGGACGCAAGUCUGAACCAGCCAUGCCGCGUGCAGGAAGACGGCUCUAUGAGUUGUAAACUGCUUUUGUACGAGGGUAAACGCAGAUACGCGUAUCUGUCUGAAAGUAUCGUACGAAUAAGGAUCGGCUAACUCCGUGCCAGCAGCCGCGGUAAUACGGAGGAUUCAAGCGUUAUCCGGAUUGAUUGGGUUUAAAGGGUGCGUAGGCGGUCGGAUAAGUUAGAGGGUAAAUCCCGAGGCUCAACUUCGGAUUUUCCUCUGUUACUGUUCGGCUCAGCAGUAGUUGCGGUAGGCGAACUUUCUGGUGUCGCGGUAAACUGCU
rnacentral:rRNA from 1 species